AGGAUUUUUUGGCCUCCUGAGCUUUGGGUUACAACUUCAUACUUUUUUUUUAUCUUAGCUGAUUAUCUGUAUAGAACUCCAGCCUUCCACUUAUGAUUGAGAAUUCUUGAUUGGUUGUGUAAAAAUCAAGAAUGACUUAUGAAGUUCAAGGUCAAGUAAGAUGGAGCAUGGUAGUCAACAAACACAACAUUUGUUAUUCUGCAUGGAUGGUCAAAGUAGGAAUAGUUGUUCUCUGUCAGCUUUGAUUAACACUCUCCUGAUAUUGCUGGUGGGUUUUUUUUAUGGUUUUUGUAUGCAUCGUAUAAACUACAGCAUGAAAACAAUACAUGUCGAAUCCCAAGGCACAUGCUGAGCAGAUAGUUUUGUCUAAUUAAAAAAAAUGUUAAAAGUAAAAUUGGUUGCAAACUUGCAGUUCUUUAUUUUUUUUAACUCUUCUAACAUGUCAAUACAAAUUUGAUUUACAUGUACCGUACUUUAUAAGUUUCAAUUUGAUAUACUCUGUCUUUAAUAUGUAGCAGUAUUAAUUAAUACCAUACAUUUCAUUUGGCAAUGGCUUGUAUAUAAAGGCUUUAUAAAAGAUUACUUAAUAUGAUAACAAAUGGAUGGCCACAUUAAAUUUAAUCAUUCAAUUCCCAUGCUAUUUAGUUAAGUUUGUAUCUCUGAUUUAGUUUUAGUAUUCAGUACAUUCAGAUUCAGUACAUGUUAUUUUUCAUUUCAUCAUCACCAUUUUUUUAGGUAAAAACAAAAACAAAUCAAUGUGGGCAUGAUGUACUAAUGUGGAGCUUCCUUUACACUCCAAUCUCUUGAUGAUGUGACAUCUCCAGACAGGAGUCAGUUCUCCAUGUUCUAAGUCCAUUGAAUUUUAAACCCUGCCUUUUUAUCCUUGUCGUUAAUUUCUGAUCAAAUAUUCAUCACAGGUUUGACUCAUUGAACUUGCAAUAUGAAAUAACUGUGUACAUAUUCUGUCAUUCACAUAAUCAAACAACAAGCCCAGCUUUGUCCACAAUCUUAUGAGGUUUAAACCAAGGAUUCAGCAACUAAUGAGAUAAUACAUGCCUUGCAAUGCUGUCAUAUUGAGGCCCAUUAACUGUGUAGUGAAGUAAUUUUUAUCAGGUUAAUGCCAAAAUAUACAUUACUCUUUGUUAUUUAUGAUUUAUGACCAUAUUUUGUUAUUCUGCAAUGACUAUUAUGUUUAUUAUAGCAUGGAUGUGUUUUUAUUCAAUAAAAACUGUCAAAAAGUC
rnacentral:misc_RNA from 1 species